rnacentral:lncRNA from 1 species
GCUACUGGAAGUGCGCAGACAGCAAGAGGAAGAAGAAAGAAAGAGGCGACCACCGUCUCCGGAGCCAAGCGCGAAGGUUUCAGAGGAGGCUGAGUCCCAGCAAUGGGACACUUCAAAAGGAGACCAAGUUUCCCAGAAUGGUUUGCCGGCUGAGCAGGGAUCUCCACGGGUUAGUUACCGCUCUCAAACGUACCAAAACUACAAAAACUUUAAUAGCAGACGGACAGCCAGUGACCAUUCGUGGUCUGGACUGUGAAGUUCCAACCAUUUGUCAAGAACCAUUCUGUCCACAUCCUUUGACCUUUUUGGCUUCCACGUCACCCAAAGUGUUAAAAUUUUUACUUAACUCAUAGCUUUCCUUGAUUUCAUAUUUGUUUGCAUUUAAUAUGUUUAUUUGGAUCCUCAUUGCCUCAAAGCAUCAUACUUAAUUUUUGUUUAUUUAUUGUGAGCUUUUUACUUUAAGGUUUUACAUGAGUAAUUGAAAUUAAAUUAUAGCAUAAUGAAGAAAUGAGAAUCUAACAGGUACGGCACAGACAAGUUACCCUAACAGGGCACAGUACUCUGCUAUAGGUGCUGUGUUAUUUACAAGUAUUAUUAACCUAUAGUAGUUUAGUAACUAGGAAAACCGGUUUGUAAGGAAGGAGACAUUUACUACUAAGGUUAGGCCUGCAGUCAUUCCGUGGAGAAUGUGUUCAUCAAAUGGCCCCAAAGAAGCUGAGUCUUGUUGGGAAGCUGCUUAAGUUUUAGGCGCAGGACCCAAAAUGUUCUGAGACCCUUGGGUCGUUUAUUACUUUGUACAAGCCCAAUAAUCGCUCAUUUGCCAUAUUUAGAUGCCUUAGUGGAGUCAGAGCCAUGUUUGGUAUGUGUUUUCCAUGAGCUAAGUCUAAUUUGUCUUUUCAUCUCAUGAUGCAUUUUUUCUCUUUUGUCAGGAUAACAUCAUAUAGCAUCUUAUUUGUUCUUCCUAAUCUCUAUGUACAUAUCUAUCUACCUGUAACCGUAGAUAGCUAUCUAGAUAGACACCAAGCUUCUUAUACUCCGGGCUAGUAUGCAUCAUUAUCGGGUCUCUGCCUUAAAACACAUCCAAAUUUAUAUU